AAGGCUAAUGUGUUGGCAAUUGCAAAUUCCUCCCUACUUGAACACAACAUUUGUGUUCACCAAUGUUUUGUCCAAGGUCAGAGGCACCCUCUCUUAUUCCCAAACGGUCCCCCACCCCCUACUACGGUACGCUUACACCUUUUACUCCCUCUCUCUCCUUCUUUAUCCAAACUCUAAGCUUCCCCCCUCCCCGUCUCUGUUGGAUUCCUUAAAGGUAGCUAACUGGCUUAUUAUAGUCCUGUGUCCGUGACAUCCCACUGACACUGAGAGGGAGAGAGAGUGAAUGGCAUUGUUAAUAAACCAUGUGUCCUCGUGCAGUUUUACUGGGCUGCGGCGUUCCUGUGUCCCCAUUAAUCAGGAAAACCUCGGCUGACAUCUCUGAGCUUCUUUCCUGUGAUCGGUAAUGCUCAAGAGGGAGGAAAAGAGAAAGAGAGAGAGAGAGAGAGAGAGAGAGAGAGAGAGAGAGAGAGAGAGAGAGAGAGAGAGAGAGAGAGAGAGAGAGAGAGAGAGAGAGAGAGAGAGAGAGAGAGAGAGAGAUUGACUGAGAGCGAGCGAGAGAUUUAUGUAAAGCACUCUCUGGUAAUUCUAGCCUUCAUCCGAUAUGCAUAAGGGAUGGGGCCACCAUUUUCUAGCGGUGUGUUUUUGUCAUAAGGUGAUUAGGAACGGAAUUAGUCUUGGAUAAUCCCGCCACACAAAGCGCUGCCAGGUCCCACCGGGACGGGAGACAAUGAUGCCUGACAGGGAUUAGGGCGCACGGUACCUGAGCGGAAGAGGAAGGGCUACAGCUCCUAUUUUUGGCCACAUCCGAAGGGGUCAAGGAGAAUUCUGUUUUGACAAACAUUGGUAGCCAUGGCCAAAGAAAUAACAAUUUAUUCUCGGAAGACCUGCGCGUGAUUUAAACGUAAUAGGCCACAGAAAAAUAAGAUUGGCUGUCAAGAGGACGCACCACACUCUCUCUGUCUCACACACACACAUAGAAACACACACACACUCACAGACAUAUGAUCCAUCGCUGGCAUUGUAAUUGAAAACACAGAGUGCACGCUGGCAAUUAAUCUUCCCCCCAGAUCUGUCCCUGUCCUCUGAUUUCCCAUGGAGAAAUCCCUCCACAUGCAGAUGGCAGAUAGGAGGGUUAUUGAUUGGCUGGCCUUGGAGGAAGCGGAGGACGAGGCGGAUGAGGAGGGGGAGAUGUGGAGGGGCACGGAGAUUCACCAUCCAGUAAUCUUCCCCGUGAUGCGGCUGCGUCCAAAUAACCUGCUGGGGCUGGAGGAGGGCGGCGGGGGAAAGGGGGGGCGGGGGGCAGGUUGGGGAUAAACAGGGGCAUCCAUCACGGGACGACCCGUUGCCGACGGUGAUGGAUGUCUCCUCCCGCCUCCUACGGUCCUCCCAGGGUCCACCUCUCAAUUCUGGGCUAGUAUGGGGAGUGACACCCCGUACCCGGGAGGAAUACCUGGCUGCACACAGCAGCACAAUGUCCACUCCUGGCCACAUUGAGACGGAGCGAUUCAGGGCACCGUGUGUGUGUGCGUGUGUGAGUGUGUGUGUGUGUGUGUGUGUGUGUGUGUGUGUGUGUGUGUGUGUGUGUGUGUGCACUUGUGUGUGUGUGUGUGUGUGUGUGUGUGUGUGUGUGCGUGUUCAUGGGUGUUUGUGAGUGCGUGUGUGUGUCUAUGUGUUUGCGUGUGUUUGCAUGAGUGUGUGCGUGCAUGUGUGUGUGUGUGUCUGCCGCAUAGGUGCGGGCGUGUGUGUGUGUGUAAAGGAUUGUCCUCUGUUCUCUGUCCCGGUGUCGCUUUGAGUUUUCAGGAUUAUCCUUCUUGACGGAGCCUGUUUGAUUUGUCAUGGAGGAAAUUGGUUUGUGUGUGUGUGUGCUGUACAUACAUGUGUGCAUGUGGAUUGUGUGUGUGUGGAUAACGACAUGUGGAGUGUGUGUGCCUCACUGUGUGUGUGUGUGUGUGUGUGUGUGUGUGUGUGUGUGUGUGUGUGUGUGUGUGUGUGUGUGUGUACAGGAGUCCGGCCACAUGUGCAGCAGUGCCACUGCUCCAUACCACAUGUGUGGCUUCUCAGUGCAUUAGCCCACAAAUCUAUUUGUGUUCAGAGGUGUGCAUUGCGAUUUAAUGUGCACAUGCAUUUUCAAUUGUCAUGCCACAGGCCUUAUGAGCCAAAGCCCCCUGCAACUCCUCCACCUCCUCCACCUCCUCCAGCCCCACCAGCCUCCAGGGACACAUUGCCAGUUUGCAUGCAGGCUGAUGCCAGUGCUUUCCGGGGGUGCCAGCCUGAUAGAUGGGGUGGACAUGCCAGGCUCUGCCUCCUCUCUUUCCCCGCUAGCAUUAGCGCUGAUCCACGUCUCCCUCCCUUUCUCUUCCCUCUCUGCCCCCUUCCUCUCUUUUGAUUUCCGACUCCUUUAGUUUCCUUACCCCCCUUAUCCUCUUAUCCUUGCAUUUCCUCUCCUCUCUCCCAGAGCUCCAACUCUUCUCCUUCUCCUGGCCAGUCCUCUUCUGUUUCCUCCUCUCUUUUCCUCUCCUCCUCUUACCACCUCAUCUCUCUCCUCUCCUCUCCUUCCUUCUCCCCUCAACUUCACUCCUCUUCUUCUCUCCUUCGUCCCCCCUCCGCUCCUCUCCUUCCCCUCCUCUCCUCCUCUCCUCCUUCUCUCUCCUAUCUCCUCCACUCCUCUCCUCUUCUCCUCUCCUUCUCUCCCCC
ensembl:lncRNA